rnacentral:tRNA from 3 species
UUUCGGCCUGGUUCGGGCUCGCAGUCCGGACCUUUGCACGGUCCGACACCAAAACCGCUCGCCGCUCUGACGCGGCGCUGGAUGCCA